rnacentral:misc_RNA from 1 species
AAARGAAUUUGGUGGUUUCGGUCCCCAUACKUCUUGCGCCCUUAGGGGUGUGGGGUGGACUUGAGGCGGGYUCCGUGUUGCCCGGUGUCGAGUUUGUUGAUGYUCGGUAUUGUGUCCCAUGGGGUCUUGGCUCUUGCUCUCUGAUGCAGAAUGUUGUGUGUGUUGGCGUGGGGUCUCGGCCUCUUCUCGUCCAAGCUACUCACACUGUCCCUUGACAUGAAUGACUGCCAUGCCCGUUUUGAUUGUCUGACCGAGCCUCGUCGCGGGGCUCUGGGAGGGCAUCUCAUGCGGGUGUUGGCGUCGGAGARGAAUGC